rnacentral:misc_RNA from 1 species
AAGUCGUAACAAGGUAUCCGUAGAUGAACCUGCGGAAGGAUCAUUACAACAAGGUUCCCUGGCCCUCGAAGCUUCGGCGGAGGGGCGCUACAGCCUGACUUUAUACCCACCCUUUGCCUAUGUGUACCCCUAUUGCUUCCCUCGGCGGGUUCGCCCGCCGACAGGAACCAACUAAACCCUUUGCAUUAUACAUUCAACACUUCCGAUACAAAACUAAAUUAUUACAACUUUUAACAAUGGAUCUCUUGGUUCUG